GUGGCUGUAGCUCAGCUGGUAGAGCACUGGGUUGUGGUCCCAGGUGUCGGGGGUUCGAGUCCCCUCAGUCACC
rnacentral:tRNA from 1 species